rnacentral:rRNA from 1 species
UACGAAGGGUGCAAGCGUUAAUCGGAAUUACUGGGCGUAAAGCGCGCGUAGGCGGUCUGGUAAGCGGAAUGUGAAAUCCCCGGGCUCAACCUGGGAACUGCAUCCCGAACUGCCUGACUAGAGUACGGUAGAGGUGAGUGGAAUUUCCUGUGUAGCGGUGAAAUGCGUAGAUAUAGGAAGGAACAUCAGUGGCGAAGGCGACUCACUGGAUCGAUACUGACGCUGAGGUGCGAAAGCGUGGGUAGCAAACAGG